rnacentral:rRNA from 1 species
UACAGAGGUCUCAAGCGUUGUUCGGAUUCAUUGGGCGUAAAGGGUGUGUAGGUGGCGCGCUAAGUCGGGUGUGAAAUUUCGGAGCUUAACUCCGAAACUGCAUUCGAUACUGGCGUGCUUGAGGACUGGAGAGGAGACUGGAAUUCAUGGUGUAGCAGUGAAAUGCGUAGAGAUCCGGAGGAACACCAGUGGCGAAGGCGACACGCUGGGUCAUACCUGACACUAAAACGCGACAGCAUGGGGAGCGAACGGG